CUGAGAUUGAAGCGAAAAGAGGAGAAGGAGGUCCUGGAAAUGGGGAUGUUUCUUUUACAGUAUUCAAUGUUACGAAUAAACGAUCGAACCAUAAAGUCCCCAUAGUUGCUGCUGCAUCAUUGAACAUUGCAGACUUUGCUUCAGAAGCUAGGGAAAAAGAAGAAAUUGAAAUAGUCAUUCCCUUGUAAGCCUAUAGUGGCGGCUAUAAGACCAACCGUUCACUUUGUUUGUCUCUCAAUCUUGUUGAAUUGGGGAAUGCUCACGAUGCCAAAGUUUGUCAUGUCUGCUCCAGUAUCUCCUUCCCCUGCAGAGGUUUUGUCGACAGACAGAAAUGAGCUUUCUGCUUUGAAAGCAGG